GUAGGGAAUAUUGCGCAAUGGGGGAAACCCUGACGCAGCGACGCCGCGUGAGUGAUGAAGGCCUUCGGGUCGUAAAGCUCUGUUGCAGGGGAAUAAAAAAAUGAAGGUACCCUGUGAGGAAGGAUCGGCUAACUUCGUGCCAGCAGCCGCGGUAAGACGAGGGAUCCUAGCGUUGCUCGGAAUCAUUGGGCGUAAAGAGGGCGUAGGUGGCUUGGUAAGUCAGGUGUGAAAGCCCAGGGCUCAACCCUGGAAGUGCAUUUGAUACUGCUGAGCUUGAGUGUCGGAGAGGUUACCGGAAUACCUGGUGUAGCGGUGAAAUACGUAGAUAUCAGGUGGAACACCGGAGGCGAAGGCGGGUAACUGGACGAACACUGACACUGAGGCCCGAAAGCGUGGGGAUCAAACAGGAUUAGAAACCCGAGUAGUCC
rnacentral:rRNA from 1 species